rnacentral:tRNA from 1 species
UAGCUCAGCUGGUAGAGCAUGGUGUUUGCAACGCCAGGGUUGGGGUUGUGGGUUCGAUUCCCAC